rnacentral:rRNA from 1 species
GAUGAACGCUGGCGGCGUGCCUAAUACAUGCAAGUCGAGCGAACAGACGAGGAGCUUGCUCCUCUGACGUUAGCGGCGGACGGGUGAGUAACACGUGGAUAACCUACCUAUAAUACUGGGAUAACUUCGGGAAACCGGAGCUAAUACCGGAUAAUAUAUUGAACCGCAUGGUUCAAUAGUGAAAGACGGUUUUGCUGUCACUUAUAGAUGGAUCCGCGCCGCAUUAGCUAGUUGGUAAGGUAACGGCUUACCAAGGAAACGAUGGGUAGCCGACCUGAGAGGGUGAUCGGCCACACUGGAACGGAGACACGGUCCAGACUCCUACGGGAGGCAGCAGUAGGGAAUCUUCCGCAAGGGGCGAAAGCCUGACGGAGCAACGCCGCGUGAGUGAUGAAGGUCUUCGGAUCGUAAAACUCUGUUAUUAGGGAAGAACAAAUGUGUAAGUAACUAUGCACGUCUUGACGGUACCUAAUCAGAAAGCCACGGCUAACUACGUG